AGCUCAGGUUGGGAGUGAAGGCACCCUGGGCUUGCAAGAGAGAAGGUCCCAAAAGCCCAACUCGGUGCAACAGUUUGGGUUAUAAUGUUUUACAAACAGUUCUUCUCAUGUGGAGACUCCACCAAAAGUCAGGUCAGGGGCUGAUACCAAUGUGAUCAACAGCUUCAGCUUCUGGGAGAAGGAUCAGGAUAAGAACUUAUGAGCUGAGCAGCCCCCAAGGGAGGAUGCCUGGGAUCAUCCUUCCAGCCACUCUGCCUUGGGAGCACAUUACUGCAGCUGAAGAGAGCUGGGGUGGAUGCAGAGGGACAUGGAUAAAGGGGUCUAGGAGGGCUUUGCUCCUUCUCCAAGCUGGCUGCACAGAAUCCAAGCAGGUGAUGAAACCCAACAACUCAGCAGCUCUCAGCCUCCCAGGAAUAAGAAUAGAGAUGAAGUUUCCAAUAACACUUCCCAGUUCAGUCUGUCCAGUCGUCCUACAGCCUGCUGGGGGAUUGCCUCUGCUGUUUUCCAUCCAUGAAACACCCUUCUCUCCCUGGCCCCAUCAGCCAUGUGCUGUUAACGCUCAUCACACUCCACCCCAGGAGCGGCUGCACCUCAGCAGAGAUGUGAAGACACAUAAUAAUGUGUCGAACCCCAGCACAGUCUCUGUUGUUCACCUUGCUCUUGUUAGUCCUGAAAUCUUCCAGGCUCUUCAGAGAGGCAGCAGCAAAAGAAGAGUCUGGCAACGAGCUCCCAGAGUAGGGAAACGUGAGCUGGUGGAGGCUGUGCUGGAUCUGACAGCCAGGAUCGGCCCCUGACCCGAGGCUGGAUCCAGCCAUGCCUGAGCACUGUGGGAGUUCCCAUCUGGAUCUCAGCUUUGCAGCCUGGGUCCUCCCCUGCCCAGGGGGAUUAGCGAGACGCGGUUCCCAGGGCGGGGGAAAGGGGCUAAUGAACAGAGACAGGAUAACGAAGCAGGUAAGGGCUUCCUGUACUUGAGGGCUCAGGAGGAAAUCCUGCAGCUGGUGAAUCUGGAUACGAUUAGUGUCCAUUUCUCCCUGUGUAAUCAACCCAUCUGUUCAUCCUUGCGCAUCAGCCGCGCACGCCCCGUUGCAGGCAGAUUCCUCCCGGGCACCGCUUUUAUCCCUGUCUGCCAUGGCCACUCCAGGCAGGCUUGAGAACAAGGCUCGCUCUGAGCCGUGACGGCGUAGGGAGGGAGUCCCGGGAGAGCUGCUCCCACAAACGGGGCCGGGAUGGCUGCAAACAGCAGGACCGAGCCCAGGAAAAGCCUCUUCUCCGGGGGCGGGGAGGGCGGGCGCCUUCUCCAAAGGGCUUUGAACAGGCGUUCAAAGAGAUCCCUGUAACACAGAGAUAAGCUCAGCUCUCCAGGCGCUGCCCGCUCCUCCGAGCUCAGCUUUGCCACCAGCAGGUAGAGGUGGAUUAUGUUUGGCUGCCCGGCUUCAAAGCCCUGUUCAUCCCACGGGAUCCUGAGCAAGGGCUGUCCGGUCCCCACGCGGUGGUGGAAGGGACUGGGCUCUCAGAACCACUCUGUGAGAACGCUGUUAAAGCUGAGAGGUGCUGCUGCAGGAUCCUGAGGAUUCAUUUCACCUUCUUUUCCUCGACAGCCUUGUCCCACUGUGCAAAAACCAGGUGGCAGCCCUGCCUUGGCUUACAAAUGUCAGGCCAACACACCAGCCUGGGCUGAAACGAAGUCCAAGGAAGUGCAGAUUGAUUUUUUUGUUGUAAUGCAGUGGUUCAAACUUGUGUGGUCCUUUAGGGCCUUCUGAAAGGUCAAGCUUGGUGACAGAGUUGGGACAAAAAUUUUCAGGUUAUAAUUCCCAGUCCCAGUAUCCUGUGGGACCUGCACUUAUACAGGCUCUUGCCUGUGGUCACUGGAGUGUCCUGGGAGGAUCCAUCACCCCAAGUGUUGUCCACAUAAAGAUGGUCCCUACCCCGAGCAGUUUAUGUGCUCAGCCCAGUUCUCUCCCUGUGUGGAGUUCAGGGAUCCAGGCACCUGAUCCUGCCAUUUGCUGAGUGCCAAAGUGUCAUUAGGACCAGGAACAAUUUGAGGAAUGCAGCACAGGUUAAACAUUUAAUUUGCUUUCAAGGGCUACUUGUUGCUCCAUUCCUAAAUGCAAGCUGUCCUCAGCCCCUAUUAUUUUGCUCAGGUCUGCUCUUUGGGUCCUAAAUCUUCUGAUUUUUGUUUGGUUUGGAAUGCACUGAUUUACCACUAAGGAAUAAAUGGAAAGCAAAAGAAAACAGCAGGAGCUGUUUGUACAGGCCCUAUAUUGUUCUGCUGCUAGUGAAAUAGGAGUGAUAAAUCCUGCUCCCUGGACAGAGAGAGGUUUUUGGGUGGUGGCUGUGUGUGAACAAGGCCAGGGAAGAUAAACAACAAGAAAAAAACUGGGUUUAGGAAAUGACAGUUGAGGAUGGUCAAUCAACAGAUGCUUCAAAGCCAACAAAAUACCAUCAAUUAGCAAAGCCAUAUUAAUAUUGUUUCUCCAAGGCAUUUUUGCAUCCACAAAGAGGGCCAAGGGCUGGAUGUGUGUAAUGGUAUCUGUGGUCAAACUUGGCUGCAAUUAGGAAUCUGUACCGUUCCUAUGUUGGAGGUGGGGGUGGGGGGAGUUUUAUAAAGAACUUUCCACGUAGAAAAUCUGUCCACGGUUCCAGAAGGGCUCAACCAAAAGGGUGAUGAAAAUGUGUCUGUUGGUGUCAUUGUCAGAACUGCUGGAGGUGGGAACAUUUGCUAAUCUUGCUUAUUUUAAGGGCCCUGCUUUCAGCAGCAGUUCAGCUCUGAAAAUGCAGCUCUGAAAACUCAGCCCUGGAGAGUCUCAUACAAUACACGCCUCAGACUAGACUAAAGAGGGAUGAAUUCUUCAGACUGCAGGUUCUUGCCUGCCUAAUUAUGAUUUUCAGCUUCUUAAGAUUAGGUCUUUGCAUUGUAUAAAUGUGACAGAGAAGAAAUAGCUGUGACACUGCCUUGAGCUUGCUGUUCCAGCUGGGGAGGAACUCAGCUAAACCUGCAGAGUUUCAGAGCUUGCAGAGCUGAUGUGGAAGGGGAAUUUAGUUUCACAUUUGGAACUCAAACUCAGUUCCCUGAGCAAUCUAAACUGUCACCAUUUCUCUUCUGUCCAGCUCACCCAGGAUGGCCUGGGAACAGUGUCACUCUUGAGGGGUAACUUUGGCGUCCUGGGUCAAGAAAGGUUUCUGUAUCAAAACAACCUUCAUCAGCUCCAGUGGCUACACCUCUAUUGGAACCUUUCAGUAGGUUCCAGAAGGUUUAGACCUUCUCUGUGGGUUUUGACUUUCCUGUUCAGCUGUUUCCACAGACACAUAAGGUGCUUUGCAGCUGCAUAAAAUGGCUUUUGGGUGAAUUCAGGACUGGUCAAAGUCUAACAUGGUUUGGCUUGCAGGAUUCGUGCAGCUCCAAAUCCAGUUUGGGUUGGGUCCCAGUGAUGUGGAAAGUGAAGCCACCUCUCACUUUAGCAGGCAGAGUGCUCUCUUGCCAUCUCUGCCACCAUCCAUCUUCUGGAAGAGAGAGGAGAAACUGCCCUGUGUGCAAGAAUCCUUUAGAGCAGGAUGGGAUGUGGGUCACACACAGACUGCUGGGCACGUAGCAAAAAGACCAGCAAAGUUGUCAAAAACCUCAGUUUGGAUUUCUGUGCUUCCUGGGUCUGGGAGCCCCAGAGCUGUGUCUGUGAGAAGGCAGCUCCAUCCUUGGUGGGAGAAGCAGGCAGGAAAGAGCUUGGAUGGACUCUGACUUUUUUUUUCCUCAGAAGUGCUGUGGCAAAAGUAUGAAUAAUGCAUGUAAGUUCAAUUCUUUUCUCCCUGGCUGAGGGCAAGGUGUCCCAGCUGAUAAGAACUGGGAGCCCAAUCUUGUUAAAGCCAGUGUUAGACUUGGACCUUCAUGGGAUCUACUGCCUCAAGCAAUUCCAUUGUUCAAAGCACAUUUGGUUAAUUAGCACAUUAACUAAUUAACCUUCUCAGCAUCCCAGGUAGGGAAUAUCUGUCUCCCAAAGGAGGAAACAGGAGCAAAGUGACUCACUAGGACUGGAUGCAGGAGCUCAGCAAUGCAGCUGCGAAGUCUGGGGCUUUUCCCUUCCCAAAUGAUUUUGUUGUUGCUGAGGGUGCCUUGUGCACACAGUUCCCUCAAGACAGAAAUGAAGGAGUCCUAAAAAGACUCCCAACAGAAUGCUCAGGCCCAGUGAGGAAAAGUGCCACUGGCAAACAGUCCAAAUACCCAGAGAAGGCAAAUUUGCUUCACCCACAUGCACCAGCUAAGGAAUAAAAAGCCAAUACCACCAGGAAAGUUUUUCUCACCACGAAAAUGACUAAACCCCGGUAUCUUCUCAUUCACAUUUUCAUCCACUCUAAAAUUUCACGACCCAGAAGCCAAAUGGCCGGUGUGGGAAGGAGAGAGCAUGUGAGAGACAACAGUGGGGCUGUGUUUGUACAGGCUCGCUGGGAUGUGACCAGACCAGAAGGAUAAGACCCAAAGAGACUCCAGCAAACAGCCAGAGGGGAAACUUUGAUGCUGAGGAAGUCCUCCGACUGGAACACAUGAUGAUGAGCAGCUGAUUUCCACAGCUUUGCAGCGUGGUAGGAAAAAACCCAGGGCCAGAGCACAAGGGUAGAGUUCUCUGCCUUGCAAGACCCAUGACAGCAUCACAGACCUUUUCUCACGAGUCUUGGUCACAAACAGAAAAGGGAGGCUUGUUCUCCCCACCCUGACCUGGAGGCAGAGAGUUCUGUGCUCUACCUCCUAUCAAAUGACAAUCCUUGGCAGCGAGGAUGUGUGUGCAGAAGAAGCAACUCCUGCAUGCAAUGGUAUGUCCCAGAGGAACAGAGUCUCCCAGGGCUUAAUUAUGGGGCCAUGUGCUUACCAGUCCCUUGCUCCUGGCUUCCAACCAGCCCAGGCAGUCACGGCCCUUCCCACUGGAAGCUUGAACAGGAAUGUCAAGGGUGUGCCUUGAAUGAGAGCACAGCAACAGCACCUGAGAGCAGAAAGCACCAAAGCAGGAGGCCUGUCCUGUGGAAGGGACCCCUUUCAUGACCACGUCUUAAUCUACCACCAGUUUACUAAGCCCACAGCAGCCCAGAUUGGAGGCUGCAAAAAUAUCUCCCUUGCAAAAAUCCUCCCUUGUCCUUUGUGAAGCUCCAGCAUUUUAAUCAUGUUCACACCUCCCUCUCCUGACACAAACCAUCUCAGCUCCCUCAGUAACCCAGGUCCACAAAAACCUGUGUGUUCCUGAUCUCAAUCCCUUGCUUACAUUCUCCCUUCCAUAAGCCUCCCAAACAUCCCCCUUUGUUUAUUCUCUGUAUCCCCAUCUUUCACCCUGUGCACUCCCCUCAUUUGACUAAGAUAUAUUGAAUAAGCAACUCGUGCAGAGGGGCUACAGACAAUUUUGGCUGUGCUAUUGGUAUCUUCAGCAAUCCCAGCCCUGUGCAUGUUCCUAAUUCCAUAUUGCUUCAUCUCAGCACCACCAGGAAGGUGCUGCCUAGUUGAUCCAGGGACCCUGUUACUGGGAAAGGCAAAACACCCUGUCUUGUAAAUGUAUCUUGUUUUGUUGUGUUCAUUUUUCCUUAGAAUAUGGGUCAAAAUAAGAGUUCCUCAGUUUGUCAGGGGGUUUCUAGAAGAGAGUAUUGGUGGUGCCAGAGCAGCUGAAAUUGUAUUUCAUUCUUAGCUUCAACCUGAUGUGCUGCAAGUGGCCAUUCUUACCUAUCCCUAUAAUUAUCCAGGGCCCUUUGGUCUUCAUCCUGCAUCUUGUCUUGCUGCAUCUCCUGGAAAAGUAUUGCACAAGAAACUGCACUGUUCUUUCUGUGCAAAGGCAUUUCCAAAGCAAGCCUUGCCUUCCCAAAUCCUGGUAAAAUUAACCAGCCUUGAAUCUCUUAAAUGUCUUCAAAAUACCCAGACUUCAAGGUUAAUCUGAAGGGCACAAACCUACCUCUGAGCUCACAUGGCUCCACACCAAGCCCAUAGAGAAGUCAGGAUAUCCUGGGCAGGCUCUCAAUAGGGUUUUUUCACAGGUGAUGCUUAUUUUCAGGGAUAUUUUAAUAAACCUGAGCAAUCACAGCAAGUUACUAAACAGUAAGUCCAUAACAAUUUUCACCUGGACAUCUCAGGUUACUUUGCAGGAAGUUGGUGGGGUUCAGAUAGUGAGGAAUAGUGGUUAUUCAAAACAGUCUUAAGAUUUCAUCUUUCUUCACAGGAUAACUCAAGAUGCUGGCAUUCUGCUCAGAAUUACUCUGCAGAGAAAUUUCCUUCCCCACUCACCAGAUAAAGCUGAGCAGGUCCAACCUCCAGGGCUUAAAUUUAUCCCAUGUGAAUAUGCCAAAAAGUGGCCUGUCCAAUUAACAACCUUCCUUAAAGGAUUGUCCUACAAGUCCUGUAACAGCUUCAAAGCUAUGUUUUGGCAUUUCCAGCUCCCUGCAUCCUUAGGGCACUGGGAACUCCUACCCAUCCUAAAUCCUGGGAAUAGUCCUGAUUUUCAUUGCUUGUCCCACCUACAGAAGCAGAAAGCCCGGGGGGUGUUGAUUUGUGUCCUCCUAAGGGUCUUUCCAUGCUGGAUACUCUCAAAAAAGGUCAUGAGGUGUUUGCUUUGCUCUAAAACCUCUCAUUGCCUUUUUUUUUUUUUUUUUUGUGGUCAGGAUUUGAAGGGAUUUAUUGUUUGUGGUCGAGGGUGGGAUUCACCCAUGCACGUUGCUGGAUGCUAACUGGGAGCUCAGCCCUGUGCUUUAGGGAAUGAGGCUCCAGUGAAAUGCCUCUCUGGUUCCCCAGGACGAUGGGCAGUUGUGCUGCUGGUCCGUGCAAGGGCAGAAAGACGAAAGUCACGGAGCUCACGUGAGGCUUUCUGCAGGCACAAGGCCCUUCUGGGCAGAGCCUCCAUUUCUGGGCCAGGCUCAUCCUGACAGGAGCAAGCAAGGAAAGCUCGGGUUGCUCCGUUGGGAUCCGGGAUGCAGAGGCCAUGCUGUCCCCAAGGCCUCCUCGCCUGCGCCGGGUUCCUCUCCCCCUCCCUGCGGGUGUUAUUUACACCAUUUCCUGCCCAGGGAAGUUCAGGAGUUUGACGUUGCUGGGUUGGUUUCCGCUCUCCUGCCUGGUUCCCAUCGGGAGCUCUGGCAGAGCCCAAGCCCUGCGGUGCCGGCAGCUGGGCAGGACCCUGCCCGUGCCAGCGGGCGGGAUAGAGGUGCCAGCCAGGCCCAGGGAAAGAAGUGUAACCCCUGUCACACCAGACAACUCAGGCUCAACCAGCCUGGGAGGGCUGGAAAAGCCGACUCCAUGUCCGUCCCUCCACCCCAGUCCUGCUGCAGGGCUGGACGGGAGGAAGGGAGGACGCGCCCGGGCACCGCUGCGGAGCUUUUGGGUUCCUGCCGAAUUGACGCCCUCCCUUCUCCCUCCCUCUCCUCCCCAUCCUUCCCUCCUGGCCUGCGUCUCCCCUCCCUUCCCUUCUCCCUCCCAUCCCGCAGCAAACAAAAUGGCUGCUCCAUGGCCAUUUUGUUUUCCGUCUGGAAGGGGGAAGCCGGGACGCUGGGACUUGGCUCUUUUUUGGAGGCUGCGGCCAUAUUCGAGCCCAACUCUCCCGUCUCUACGUGGCACCGGCUGUAGCGAGAGAGAGAGAGAGAGAGAGGAAAAAAAAAAAAAAAAAAAAAAAAAAAGGACCUUUUGGAACGAGCCCAGAGUCAGAGAGUGGGUAGUUUUGGCGUAUGUUGAGCACUGAAAAUGCCUGGAAUUGCCAAAGUGAGCUUUUGUGUUAGCAGCGUAAGGCUACUCGGUGCACGCAGAGUCGCAGGGCUGCACGGAAUAGCCGGACGGAAAGUGAUUCUGCAUUUCCUUCAGUAGCCUGGAUGUCUUGGAUUUGGUAGUCACGCCGUUUCGUUCAUGGACGCUCCGAGGAGCAGAUCUCUGUCCGGUGGCACGGGGGGAUCGGGCUCUGAUAAGGCAGCACUGUUGGAGUGAUCGUCCUACCUUUCCUUGAGUGGCUGUCCAGACAUGUGGAGAGAAGGAGACACUUUCAGAGAGGAGCUGGGAAGGAGAGCAGAAAGAGGUGAAAUCGCUUUUCUUGCACAGAAAGGAGCCACAGAGGAGCAGCUGCCUGGAUAAGGAUCAUCUCAGUGCCUUAGGCUGCCAUGGUGCCAAGCUGUCCUUGAGGCUGAGGUAGUAGAUUGAAUAGUUGUGGAGUCCGGUCCUCCCUUUGAGCUAACUAUACAAUCUACUGUCUUUCCUAAGGAGACAGUCAGGUCUUCGCAUCUCAUCAUCUCCUUCUACACCAAGUUCUCAUCAUCUCCUUCUACAGCCAGGUGGUGCAAGUAAAGCAAAUCUGUGAAUCUGCUGCGUCCCUGAGUCAGGCGAGUCCUCCGUUCUGCUCUCUGGAGGUGAGGUAGUAGGUUGUAUAGUUUGGUGGGAGGGAUUUGAUCCCAUUUCAGGUGAUAACUAUACAGUCUAUUGCCUUCCUUAAAGAGCAGCAAAAGCACUGGAGGAGCUCCCGAGGCAUCGCUUCUUCUGUUGAGGAUCCCAAAACGCAGCGUGGUGCUGUUGAACAACUCAGUGGUUCUUCUCUUAUAGCAUCCAGGAUUGCAAUUCUUCCAGGAACUGCUCCUUGCCUCAGGCACAUGAGCAUGGAGCCACCUGCUUAGAGAGAAUCCACCUCUGUUUAAUGGGUGCAGGAGAAACAGUGAAAUGGGGCUGUGCAUCAGCUCCUCGUGUUCAAUCCUACUCCCUUUUUGCAGGAGAUGAGCUCAAGCUGUAAAGUGUUUAAAUCUGUUGUUCUUUUCUGGUCUGUCAGGGCUGGAGGGGAGCAGGUACUUUGGUGCAAAUGGGAUAGAUUUGAGGUCACGACUUAAGUUGGCUGCACCCAAUUCUGAAGUUUGGGUUAAGAACCAGACCCGAGGGCAAGCUUAGCCUGUGGACUCAGAGCCCCGGGAGCUGAGCAGACCUGGCUGGUUGGCCCCUGCUCAGGAAGUGCAUUUUGUUUUGGACAAGUUCCCAGCUGUCCCAUGGUAUGGAGUUACAGGGUGGUUCUUUGUGAUCUGAUAAUUCCUAUCAACAUAACUCGCUGACAUGCAAACCCUGGCGAGGAGGUUUGGGCUCCUGGGUAUUUACACAGGAUAAGCCAAUGAUUCAGACUAAAAAUUUGCCCUAAAGUGAGACAAACAAGGAAGAGAUAUGAGCCAAAGGGAGCAAUUCCUAAUCCUUCUGGGUUCUCCCAGGGAGGUAGCACAUGCCUGACAAGAGACAUGUGAGAAGAGGUCACGCUUCAGAGCUCUGGCCCUUGGCAAGGAACAGGGAAUUGUUCAUUCCUCCCUUUCUUAGGAGCAGAUGGGACUAUCCCUCUGCCAUUUUCCAAAGUAAGCAGGAUCAAGACCAUGAGUGGAGCUGUAACACGAUCAGGGCUGCACCAGUUCUACAAGACCAAAGGAUAUUCCAGGCCAUUAUCAGGACCAUCUCACUGCCAGGGACACACGUGAGAUCCGAGACACCCGGGAGCGAGGGCGAGCAGAGGACACCUUCUCAGAUGAAGUGGGAGGGAGAGAGCUGCAAAGAGAAACUGGAGCCCUCAAAUUUCACCCUGAGCAAACACACAGGCACAGCCAGACCUGACUGCUUGGGCUGUGGGACUCCCCAGAACGAAGCAGCUCGUUCAAGGCUCCUCUGCUGGGAUGGGGCGUAGCUGCAGCGAGGCUGGGACACAGCUGGUGGGUGGGGAUGCUGCAGUGUGUAGCAGGGAAGGAAUGCAGCCCUCUCUCCAUAAAUCUGGCUUUUCAGCACUCCUGGAGACUUGCUGUGCAAAACUACAGCUUGGUUCUCUUAGCUGCAUUACUCUCCUCUAGCUGCUUGCUAAGGGGCACAGCUCCUGCCCACAAAUUGCUUGGAGGGUGCCAAAAUAGCACCACAAGCAUGGGAGCAGAGUGGCAUAUCCACUUAUAUGUAAGGGGUAUCCCCUCAAAAAGAACUAAUCCUGUGUGUCCCAGGUGGAAUCAGCUCAGUCCCCCUCCAUGGUAUUGAUGUUAAUGCAGAGAACCUCGAGCAGUGAAACUGUGUGAGCUGGAAGCCAUGAAUAAAAUAUUACUGGAGAUAUUCUCUUGUGAAAAUAAACUUGAUUUGACUUGUUUAAAA